rnacentral:rRNA from 2 species
UCGAGCGAUCGAUGGGAGCUUGCUCCCUGAGAUUAGCGGCGGACGGGUGAGUAACACGUGGGCAACCUGCCUAUAAGACUGGGAUAACUUCGGGAAACCGGAGCUAAUACCGGAUACGUUCUUUUCUCGCAUGAGAGAAGAUGGAAAGACGGUUUACGCUGUCACUUAUAGAUGGGCCCGCGGCGCAUUAGCUAGUUGGUGAGGUAAUGGCUCACCAAGGCGACGAUGCGUAGCCGACCUGAGAGGGUGAUCGGCCACACUGGGACUGAGACACGGCCCAGACUCCUACGGGAGGCAGCAGUAGGGAAUCUUCCGCAAUGGACGAAAGUCUGACGGAGCAACGCCGCGUGAACGAAGAAGGCCUUCGGGUCGUAAAGUUCUGUUGUUAGGGAAGAACAAGUACCAGAGUAACUGCUGGUACCUUGACGGUACCUAACCAGAAAGCCACGGCUAACUACGUGCCAGCAGCCGCGGUAAUACGUAGGUGGCAAGCGUUGUCCGGAAUUAUUGGGCGUAAAGCGCGCGCAGGUGGUUCCUUAAGUCUGAUGUGAAAGCCCACGG